rnacentral:rRNA from 1 species
CUGACUUACCGCGUGCCUAUUCCUUGCAGUCGAGCGGACAGAUGGGAGCUAUGCUUCCCCUUGAUGUUAGCGGCGGACGGGUGAGUAACACGUGGGUAACCUGCCUGUAAGACUGGGAUAACUCCGGGAAACCGGGGCUAAUACCGGAUGGUUGUUUGAACCGCAUGGUUCAAACAUAAAAGGUGGCUUCGGCUACCACUUACAGAUGGACCCGCGGCGCAUUAGCUAGUUGGUGAGGUAACGGCUCACCAAGGCAACGAUGCGUAGCCGACCUGAGAGGGUGAUCGGCCACACUGGGACUGAGACACGGCCCAGACUCCUACGGGAGGCAGCAGUAGGGAAUCUUCCGCAAUGGACGAAAGUCUGACGGAGCAACGCCGCGUGAGUGAUGAAGGUUUUCGGAUCGUAAAGCUCUGUUGUUAGGGAAGAACAAGUACCGUUCGAAUAGGGCGGUACCUUGACGGUACCUAACCAGAAAGCCACGGCUAACUACGUGCCAGCAGCCGCGGUAAUACGUAGGUGGCAAGCGUUGUCCGGAAUUAUUGGGCGUAAAGGGCUCGCAGGCGGUUUCUUAAGUCUGAUGUGAAAGCCCCCGGCUCAACCGGGGAGGGUCAUUGGAAACUGGGGAACUUGAGUGCAGAAGAGGAGAGUGGAAUUCCACGUGUAGCGGUGAAAUGCGUAGAGAUGUGGAGGAACACCAGUGGCGAAGGCGACUCUCUGGUCUGUAACUGACGCUGAGGAGCGAAAGCGUGGGGAGCGAACAGGAUUAGAUACCCUGGUAGUCCACGCCGUAAACGAUGAGUGCUAAGUGUUAGGGGGUUUCCGCCCCUUAGUGCUGCAGCUAACGCAUUAAGCACUCCGCCUGGGGAGUACGGUCGCAAGACUGAAACUCAAAGGAAUUGACGGGGGCCCGCACAAGCGGUGGAGCAUGUGGUUUAAUUCGAAGCAACGCGAAGAACCUUACCAGGUCUUGACAUCCUCUGACAAUCCUAGAGAUAGGACGUCCCCUUCGGGGGCAAAGUGACAGGUGGUGCAUGGUUGUCGUCAGCUCGUGUCCUGAAAUGUUGGGUUAAGUCCCGCAACGAACGCAACCCUUGAUCUUAGUUGCCAGCAUUCAGUUGGGCACUCUAAGGUGACUGCCGGUGACAACCGGAGGAAGGGGGGGAUGACGUCAAUCAUCCUGCCCCUUAUGACCUGGGCUACCACGUGCUACAAUGGACAAAACAAAGGGCA